UUUACUUGAUUGGUCAUUGGAGUACACAAAAAAUUGACUAAUUGAAUUUUAGAAUAAUAAAUACUUUUGUCAAUGAAGUACAAAGUAAAAAUUUGUUGAUAUUACAUGCGCAGUGUAAACAACUCUGUUACAACAAUAUAGCAGGAGAAUAAGGGUAUAGAGGAGGUUAUAGGGCGGGAAACUCUAAGAAUCAGAGACACAUAUUACAGAUGGAGGAGAUUAAAUGAUUUUUAGAUUAACUAUUCCGAGAAAAUUGUAUCAAUAAUAUUUUAUCAAUAUUUCUAUUAAAAAUUCAAUAAAUACUUCGCAUGGGAUAUUGAUUAUUGAAGAGUUUAUGUCAUCUAUAUUUUGAAUUCUAUAAGGUGAGAAGUAUGUUUAUUUUUAUGGUUGUGUCAUGACUCCGAAAAAAGAAAUAACCUUAGUUUCAGAUAAUUGAUGAGGAUCAGUCGGUAUUGAAAUAUUUCCGUGUAAAGUUUGGAAAUGAAAUACAGGCAGUGGAUUUAAUUGGAAUUUUCGUCAAUGAAAUCAAAACAAACCAAGCUGUUGAUAAACAUCCUUCUAUAUGUGAUACAACUUGUGUAAUUCUAGUCAAUGUAUAUAAUUAAUUAGAUUUAACUACAUAUUUAUGUAUACAUAAAUAUAAUACUUUUUGACGAUUGAUGUAGCCCUGUUCAAGAUGCGUGGGUGGUUUCUCUUUUAUUUGAUGUGAACGCACUGCUAUGUACUAUUAAUAUGUACACCAUGAUGAAUAAUAUCUACAUUUUUUGGACUUAUUGUGUACAUAAUGAGCUGGAACAAAGAAUUCAAGUCUUGGUCUAAUUAUUUAAAAGACAAAACUAAGAUACUCUUGGACUCUUCUGUAAUCCUGUUGAAAAUGCGUGGGCGCGGUCUUCACGAAGGCUGGCCAAGAUCAUGAGGUUGCACCCUUUCUGACCAAAUGUGGCUUAUGUGGUACAAUCAAAUUUAAACCCUUAUUGUGUUGAAUUAAUUGUUGUAUAACAUUUAUUAGCAACUUUAUUCAUGAAUUGAACAUCAGUGUCAUUGAUUCAAGGAUUUAUA